GACGAACGCUGGCGGCGUGCUUAACACAUGCAAGUCGAACGGAAAGGCCCUGCUUUUGUGGGGUGCUCGAGUGGCGAACGGGUGAGUAACACGUGAGUAACCUGCCCUUGACUUUGGGAUAACUUCAGGAAACUGGGGCUAAUACCGGAUAGGAGCCCCUGCUGCAUGGUGGGGGUUGGAAAGUUUCGGCGGUUGGGGAUGGACUCGCGGCUUAUCAGCUUGUUGGUGGGGUAGUUGCUUACCAAGGCUUUGACGGGUAGCCGGCAUGAGAGGGUGACCGGCCACAUUGAGACUGAGAUACGGCCCAGACUCCUACAGGAGGCAGCAGUAGGGAAUAUUGCACAGUGGGAGGAAGCCGGAUACAGCAACGCCGCGUGCGGGAUGACGGCCUUCGGGUUGUAAACCGCUUUCGCCUGUGACGAAGCUUGAGUGACGGUAAUGAGUAAAGAAGCACCGGCUAACUACGUG
rnacentral:rRNA from 1 species